rnacentral:rRNA from 1 species
AGUGGGGAAUCUUAGACAAUGGGCGCAAGCCUGAUCUAGCCAUGCCGCGUGAGUGACGAAGGCCUUAGGGUCGUAAAGCCCUUUCGCCAGGGAUGAUAAUGACAGUACCUGGUAAAGAAACCCCGGCUAACUCCGUGCCAGCAGCCGCGGUAAUACGGAGGGGGUUAGCGUUGUUCGGAAUUACUGGGCGUAAAGCGCGCGUAGGCGGAUUGGAAAGUUGGGGGUGAAAUCCCGGGGCUCAACCCCGGAACUGCCUCCAAAACUUCCAGUCUGGAGUUCGAGAGAGGUGAGUGGAAUUCCGAGUGUAGAGGUGAAAUUCGUAGAUAUUCGGAGGAACACCAGUGGCGAAGGCGGCUCACUGGCUCGAUACUGACGCUGAGGUGCGAAAGUGUGGGGAGCAAACAGGAUUAGAUACCCUGGUAGUCCACACCGUAAACGAUGAAUGCCAGUCGUCGGCAAGCAUGCUUGUCGGUGACACACCUAACGGAUUAAGCAUUCCGCCUGGGGAGUACGGCCGCAAGGUUA